AAUUCGUUAUUGGUCGCAUGAUAAAUUAUAUCCAUUUUCUUGGAGGAUAAAUAUGAUGACUGUGAGCUUGAGGUGUCUUUCAUACAUCCAUGUAAACGCAAUGCUAAGGUGAUGAAGUGUGGUGUUAGAAUAGUGUAUGAGAAAGAUUUGAAAGAAAUAAAAGAGUUGCAGUGCCAUACCACUCCAUCUUCUCACAUCCACCAGCACUCUGCUCACAACCAUGGAUUAGUAGGUAGCACUUCUCACAUAAAACGAAAACGUAAUGUCUGCGAGGAAGCGGAGGAAGAAUGGCUGCAACCAAAAUGGAUGCAAAAGAUUUUCAAUUUUAUAAUGGGUCAAUCGGGGAAGAAGCAUUAGCUUAGGAAGACCGAUGUGAAGAAUCAUCAAGUAAUAGUAUUCCGCAAACCUGGUAGAUUACGUAUACAAGAGAACCAAAACAUGGAAGAAGCAGAGAAGAAAAACACGCAGGAGAGAAGAAAGAAGAAGAUGAGUGAUAUCAAACGAAGUGAAUAUUACCCAUCCAAGUACUACUCCGAGUUUGCAUAUACACCUCAAAUUUUCAGAGACCUGCUCUCUCAUGUAGGAUCCAUCUACCUGGCCACCAUUUUUCCUGUUCUACCUGCUACUAUUCUAAUUACCCAUUUUGUCAGAUACCAUAUAUGCAAUUUUCUACCUACUUCCGUUUAUAUUAGUUUAUAUUCUCUUAA